GAAAGUACUGUCAUAACAAUCAAGGCAGUGAGAGCACCAGACAAAACAAUUGACUUGGGGUGGCGCAUCGCCAUAAGAGCUGCUAUAAUAAAAGUCUCAUCCCCAAUCUCACUGACAAUAAUCAUGGACAAGCUCGCAAUAAAUGCAUCAAAAAUUCCAAGACCAGAGUCGACAUGAAGUCCAAGACCAACAGAAUUGACGUCAAGGUCAUUUGUAACUAUCAUGCCACGGCGGCCGAGAUCUUUAAGCGAUACAGUUGAUUCUUCCUUGCCAUUUCCCACCUCAGAAUCCUAUAACCCAAAAAUAACAAUAAUAACAAUAAUAAUAAUAACAAUAAAGCUUCGAAUAAAAUAAUUAGAAUUCUAC
rnacentral:misc_RNA from 1 species